UACCAAAAAACUAAAUUUCAA
rnacentral:piRNA from 1 species